AUUGAACGCUGGCGGCAUGCCUUACACAUGCAAGUCGAACGGCAGCACGGGAGCAAUCCUGGUGGCGAGUGGCGAACGGGUGAGUAAUAUAUCGGAACGUGCCCAGUCGUGGGGAUAACGUAGCGAAAGCUACGCUAAUACCGCAUACGAUCUAUGGAUGAAAGCGGGGGAUCGCAAGACCUCGCGCGAUUGGAGCGGCCGAUAUCAGAUUAGGUAGUUGGUGAGGUAAAGGCUCACCAAGCCGACGAUCUGUAGCUGGUCUGAGAGGACGACCAGCCACACUGGGACUGAGACACGGCCCAGACUCCUACGGGAGGCAGCAGUGGGGAAUUUUGGACAAUGGGCGCAAGCCUGAUCCAGCAAUGCCGCGUGCAGGAUGAAGGCCUUCGGUUGUAACUAGCUUUGUUACGGUAACGAACGGUA
rnacentral:rRNA from 1 species